rnacentral:rRNA from 1 species
AAGCUCGUAGUUGAAUUUCGGGGUUAGUAGGUUGGUCAUGCCUCUGGUAUGUACUGGUCUCACUGAUUCCUCCUUCCUUAUGAACCGUAAUGCCAUUAAUUUGGUGUUGCGGGGAAUUUGGACUGUUACUUUGAAAAAAAUUAGAGUGUUUAAAAGCAAGCUAACGCUUGAAUACAUUAGCAUGGAAUAAUGAAAUAGGACGUUCGAUCUUUAUUUUGUUGGUUUUCUAGGUAUUGACGUAAUGAUUAAUAGGAUAGUUGGG